GAGGAACAAUCCUGCACAUCAUUUGUGGAAACGGAAGAGUUAGAGGCAGAACAGGAGGAACAAUCAUGAACAUCAUUAGUUGAAAUGGGAGAGUUAGAGGCAGAACAGUCAUUUCACCCAAGGAGGCAUGCAUAUGGAUUUAGGCUGUAAAAAAGAACCUCAAACAAAAUGCCGUCUGGUGAAUUAGAUAAAGUUUCUGAGUGUAGGAUCUG